ensembl:lncRNA
UACGACUUACGUGGGGCUUGGCUUGUGCCUACCGCGCUCUAUAUAAUACUGUUUUGGAGAGAGAGAGUUUCCGAGCUGAGGUUCAAGCCAAAGGGGGAAAUCUCCAAGUCAAGUCUGAUCAAUCACAGGAGACACCAGUAACAGUGUCAGCUGUCCCUGCAGAAGGCAAGAAAGGGAUGCAGGUGUCCUCGCUUCUAGAACGGCUAAAAGAAGCAGAGGAGGAGGUAGAGGAGGGUCCAGGCGAGGGGCCCUCCUCAGAGCCACCAUCGUCAAGAAAGGCAACCGGAAAAAUUAAGAGACAUGGAAAGGAGAGUGAUGAAGACGGAG